rnacentral:lncRNA from 1 species
AUUACAACUCGCCUGAGACUUUACACUUGAUUUGGAGAUUUCUUAGCUGCUGUUUUAUGCUUUGUUACAGUGCCCCUAUUCCUAUUCAUAAAGGCCACACUUUGUAAAAUUGUGGAAUUGCAUUUAAAAUAUAUAUAAAAAAAUUAGUUCUUGUGUUUAAACAAAAAUGUUUAUUGAAGUGUUAGAAAACUGGGAUUAUUUGUAUCAUUAUUACAUUUCUUGUUGUUGGGACUAUUUGUAUCAUUAUUACAUUUCUUGUUGUUGGGACUAUAGAACUCAAGAUUCAACACUAUUAGGAGUAUCGUUAUGUUAGAUGUCUAAACAUGUUUUCACAUAAAAACAUGAGCAAUGAAGAGAAUCUACUCGUAUAUACUCAUUUUGGCGGAGAUCUGUUGUGAUUCAUUAACUUGUUGAGAAGAGAAAGAAAAUACUUGAGAAUCAUGAAAUAUACUUAUAAGAACUCUCGAGUUUUCUUUUUCUUUUUCCUUUAAAACUUAACUCAAUUGAGUUUUAGAAGGGAAGGAAAGGAAAAAGAAGGCUCGAGAGUCAUGAAAUAAACUAGUGAGGCUCCAAAACCUUACGUUUUCCUUAUUCCCCUCUAAAACUCAACUCGCAGAACACAGCCUAAAGAUGUGUUUAUGAGUUAAAUUUUAGAGAGCAAGGAAUGAAAAAAUAGCCAUGAAAUACACUUAAAAACAGACUGAAAAUAAUCAAUAUAGUAGCAAAGAAGGCAAAAAUGAGGGAGAAGUGAAAACACACAUUCAAUUAAAGGAUAUAACAAAUUAACGAUAGAGAGAAAGAGAGAAGAAUUUGAGCUGCAAAGUAAGAGAACGGUUGUUUUAUUUAUUCUGCAUGGAGGUAUAUAUAUUACCAGACCAUAGUGGAAGACAAGUUAAAAGCAUAAACAUAAACAUAAGUACCAUAAUCAAUGUUCAUACAUAAGAUGGAUGGUCGAAAAUGUUAUCUAUCAUGAGUUCUUGGUGGAGGAUGAACCAGCCUUGAUGAUCUUUAUUAUAAAGUCGUUCUUGAUCUGUGAUCUUGAAACAGGAAGGUUGCUGAAUGAACCAGUAGGAUGUGAAGUCCUUUGGCCUUGAGCUUCGGCACCACCCUUUCCACUCAUACUUGCUCCUCCACUAUAAGCUGAAACAACUGAACUAGUUCUCCCAAUUACACUGCAACAACUGAUUAUAUACAAGUAAAAUUUACUACUUUGCUUGUUCUAUUUUUUACUGUGGCUGUAGGACUUUUUGGAUAAGAUAUUAGAUAGAAUACAAAAUGGUCAAUGAUUCGACUCCUAUGAAUGAUACUUGUUGAGAAAUAAUCAUACAAUACAAAAGAGAUUAGUUCAUUACCAUAUCCAGAUGGAUAUCAAGCUUUUUAUGACUAAAGGUCACUAUACUAAAGAAUACAAAUACAAUUUGGUGACUGCACAUCACUUCACAGUGUUCACACAAUAAAAAAACAGAAUAUACUACUUGCCUUUUGUGGAAGCGUGCAAACAUAGCAUAAACAAUGCAAGCUUGUGCACGUUGCGGUGGGGCUUACAAUGAA